UUGGAGGGCAAGUCUGGUGCCAGCAGCCGCGGUAAUUCCAGCUCCAAUAGCGUAUAUUAAAGUUGUUGCAGUUAAAAAGCUCGUAGUUGAAUUUCGGAAUCUGUCCGUUGGUCGGGCUUCAUUGUCCGUACUGGCGUGGUGGGUUCUUACCUUCUGAAUAACCAGCAUGCCAUUUACUUGGUGCGUUGGGGAAGCAGGACUAUUACCUUGAAAAAAUUAGAGUGCUCAAAGCAGGCUAGUGCCUGAAUAUAUUAGCAUGGAAUAAUAAAAUAGGACGGCAUGGUUCUAUUUUGUUGGUUUCUAGGAUCACCGUAAUGAUUAAUAGGGAUAGUUGGGGGCAUUAGUAUUCAAUUGUCAGAGGUGAAAUUCUUGGAUUUAUUGAAGACUAACUUCUGCGAAAGCAUUUGCCAAGGAUGUUUUCAUUAAUCAAGAACGAAAGUUAGGGGAUCGAAGACGAUCAGAUACCGUCGUAGUCUUAACCAUAAACUAUGCCGACUAGGGAUCGGACGAUGUUAAUUUUUUAAUGACUCGUUCGGCGCCUUACGGGAAAC
rnacentral:rRNA from 1 species